rnacentral:rRNA from 1 species
AGGCUGGCGACCGAAGCCCCGAUAAACGGCGGCCGUAACUAUGACGGUCCUAAGGUAGCGAAGUUCCUUGUCGGGUAAGUUCCGACCUGCACGAAUGGCGUAACGACUUCCCCACUGUCUCGACCAGGAGCUCGGCGAAAUUGCAGUACGAGUAAAGAUGCUCGUUAAGCGCAGAAGGACGAAAAGACCCCGGGACCUUUACUAUACCUUGGUAUUGGCGUUAGGCGCGGAUUGUGUAGCAUAGGCGGGAGGCUUCGAAGCGGGUGCGCCAGCAUUCGUGGAGCCGCAAGGUGAAAUACCGCUCUGUUCUCGUUUGACGUCUAACCUCGACAAGUCAUCCUUGUCAGGGACAGUGCCUGGCGGGUAGUUUAACUGGGGCGGUUGCCUCCCAAAGAGUAACGGAGGCGCGCGAAGGUUCCCUCAGGCUGAUUGGAAACCAGCCGUAGAGUGUAAAGGCAUAAGGGAGCUUGACUGCGAGAGAGACAUCUCGAGCAGGUACGAAAGUAGGUCUUAGUGAUCCGGUGGUUCUGUAUGGAAGGGCCAUCGCUCAACGGAUAAAAGGUACUCUGGGGAUAACAGGCUGAUACCGCCCAAGAGUUCAUAUCGACGGCGGUGUUUGGCACCUCGAUGUCGGCUCAUCUCAUCCUGGGGCUGUAGCCGGUCCCAAGGGUAUGGCUGUUCGCCAUUUAAAGAGGUACGUGAGCUGGGUUUAAAACGUCGUGAGACAGUUUGGUCCCUAUCUUCCGUGGGCGCUGCAAGAUUGAGAGAGCCUGCUCCUAGUACGAGAGGACCGGAGUGGACGCACCUCUGGUGUAUCGGUUGUCACGCCAGUGGCAUCGCCGAGUAGCUAUGUGCGGAAGAGAUAACCGCUGAAAGCAUCUAAGCGGGAAACUCGUCUCAAGAUUAGUCUUGCCGGGGCCUUGAGCCCCCUGAAGAGUCGUUCGAGACCAGGACGUUGAUAGGCCAGGUGUGGAAGCGCAGUAAUGCGUUAAGCUAACUGGUACUAAUUGCUCGUGAGGCUUGACCCU